rnacentral:rRNA from 1 species
AUUGAACGCUGGCGGCAUGCCUAACACAUGCAAGUCGAACGAGUGGCGGACGGGUGAGCAAUGUCUGGGCACCUGCCUGAUGGAGGGGGCUAACUACUGGAAACGGUAGCUAAUACCGCAUACCAUCGGAUGUGCCCAGAUGGGAUUAGCUAGUAGGUGGGGUAACGGCUCACCUAGGCGACGAUCCCUAGCUGGUCUGCGAGGGUGACCAGCCACACUGGAACUGAGACACGGUCCAGACUCCUACGGGAGGCAGCAGUAGGGAAUAUUGGACAAUGGGCGAAAGCCUGAUGGAGCAAUGCCGCGUGAAUGAAGAAGGCCUUCGGGUUGUAAAGUACUGUCGGCGGGGAAGCGUUACCCACAGAGGAAGCACCGGCUAACUCCGUGCCAGCAGCCGCGGUAAUAC